rnacentral:rRNA from 1 species
UACGGGGGGGGCAAGCGUUGUUCGGAAUUACUGGGCGUAAAGGGCUCGUAGGCGGCCAACUAAGACAGACGUGAAAUCCCUCGGCUUAACCGGGGAACUGCAUCUGAUACUGGAUGGCUUGAGAUUGGGAGAGGGAUGCGGAAUUCCAGGUGUAGCGGUGAAAUGUGUAGAUAUCUGGAGGAACACCGGUGGCGAAGGCGGCAUCCUGGACCAACACUGACGCUGAGGAGCGAAAGCCAGGGGAGCAAACGGG